UCUUGCCUCAGGCUUCUCCCCAACUCAGCUACAUAAAGUAACAAGUCGCAGAUCUUGCCACUUAAAGUUUUGCUUAAAAAGCAAGUUUGGGAGCUAUGAUCUUCCGACAGGAAAGACCUUAAACUGACCAGUUUUAUGACAGAUGAACAUCAGCUUCGGAUAAAGACAAGCUGAAUCAGAGUGACAAUGUUUGUGUAUAAUAGAUGCAUUGGUCAGGAUGAUUAUGGAAGAAAACCAGAUGGGAUUUGUGUUAAAUUACCAGCAAAGCAAUAGACUU